rnacentral:rRNA from 1 species
ACAGAGGUCUCAAGCGUUGUUCGGAUUCAUUGGGCGUAAAGGGUGCGUAGGUGGCGCGCUAAGUCAGGUGUGAAAUUUCGGAGCUUGACUCCGAAACUGCAUUUGAUACUGGCGUGCUUGAGGACUGGAGAGGAGACUGGAAUUCACGGUGUAGCAGUGAAAUGCGUAGAGAUCGUGAGGAAGACCAGUGGCGAAGGCGGGUCUCUGGACAGUUCCUGACACUGAGGCACGAAGGCCAGGGGAACAAACGGGA